rnacentral:rRNA from 1 species
CCUACGGGAGGCAGCAGUGGGGAAUAUUGCACAAUGGGGGAAACCCUGAUGCAGCGACGCCGCGUGGGUGACGAAGUAUUUCGGUAUGUAAAGCCCUAUCAGCAGGGAAGAAGAUGACAGUACCUGACCAAGAAGCCCCGGCUAACUACGUGCCAGCAGCCGCGGGAAUACGUAGGGGGCAAGCGUUAUCCGGAUUUACUGGGUGUAAAGGGAGCGUAGGUGGCAUGGCAAGCCAGAAGUGAAAACCCGGGGCUUAACCCCGCGGAUUGCUUUUGGAACUGUCAGGCUGGAGUGCAGGAGGGGCAGGCGGAAUUCCUGGUGUAGCGGUGAAAUGCGUAGAUAUCAGGAGGAACACCGGUGGCGAAGGCGGCCUGCUGGACUGUAACUGACACUGAGGCUCGAAAGCGUGGGGAGCAAACAGGAUUAGAUACCCGGGUAGUC